AAAGGAUUAUUCCCCUAUAUGGAGUCCCAUGUAAAUCUCGAAACCUCAUAAUGGCCAAUGUUGGCCCAUAAAACUGUGUUGAACAAAGGCGAUUGAAUGGAGGCUUUUUCACGCAUAAGGGGGUUUUCAGAGGACUUUAUUGACGACGGGUCGGCCCGCGAUAAUCUCUCUGCCGGUGAAAGCGCGCCUCAGAGCGGCAGAUGAAGUGGUCCCUCUCGUGCCCAGGUCCUGUGGACGCCCUCUACCACUUAACAAAAGCAAAGCGGCGCUAAACGACGACAGGCCGGAACAAUGAAUUCAACCCGGCGCGCUCUCAGCACCGUGAAAUUGCAUAUUAAACCGAAAAAGCGGAGCCGGUGACACAGAGUUGCAUUUCUUCAAGAAUGCAAAUGUGGAAAUUGAAUGUUGAACACACUCACAUCACGGCUGACCAUAUUUCCCUGAUGCAACCUCUGUUCAAAAUCAAAGUUUUAAUUAGAUAAAGUAAGAGUAAAUAUAUUACA